rnacentral:lncRNA from 1 species
CUCAGCGCCAUCCUCCCCAACGCCAUUCCCCCCUCAGUCCAGCCCGGCCCGGGCACCUUAGAACUUUCGCCCGCUGGCCUAGCUUCCACUUGUCCCGGCAGACGCGCGUGGGGUCCGCGUCCGGAGCUGCCUGCUCCACAGCCCUGCUCCGGCGAUGCCCUGUUUCCUGUUCAACAAUAUAACCGGCGGAGAGCGCUCGGCAGAACUUCCUCCCAAGCCGGGACUGGGCUGUGCUUGCAAGAGACAAUCCCCGGUGUCCUGGCUUCCUGUCCCCUCUGGGCCGGGCUAGCGCUCUAGGAGCAGAGACGCCACCCUCCCCCCCCUCUUCCCCGGGAUCCUGGGCCACACCUGGCUGUCUCCGGGGAGGAGGCAGUGGCAGGGCCUGGAUGGAGAUCUGCGGGGGAGGCAGUUUCUCUCAGCUUCUGACCAGAUUAGACUCCCACUGACCCUCAUCCUUGUCGGAGGAAGUCACCGGCCACUCUGCAGGCGGCCGGAGUGUAGUUGCGGGAUCCUCCCAUUUUGGAAACUACCUGCCUCUUGGGAAAGCAGCCUUAGCACUCUGAGGUGUGCCUGUGAACACUUCUGACAAAGGAGGCACUUUCUGUGGAUGAGAACUCCAGUUUGCCCAUCCCCCUCUAGACAGGGGAAAGGGGAAACUGCCCUCAGAGGCACUGUGCUGAAGGUGGAAAGACAACCAAAGACAGCAAUAGCAGCAGCAGCAGCAGCGCAAGUGCCAGGCGCCUCCCCCGGGCCUGCCACCCCCAACCUCCAAAUCCAGUUCCUCUCCCUUUGCUCUGAGCCCAGACCCCUGAGAACCUGCCUCAAAGAUGGCCAAGGAGCACCCACCCACUGGCUGAGGGCGCUCAAGGCCAGGAAAUGAAGCCCUGGAUGUUGUCUUUUUCUGUCCCAUUUUUCUGCAACCUGGUUUCCCUAGGAAUUAA